UACGUAGGUGGCAAGCGUUAUCCGGAAUUAUUGGGCGUAAAGCGCGCGCAGGUGGUUUCUUAAGUCUGAUGUGAAAGCCCACGGCUCAACCGUGGAGGGUCAUUGGAAACUGGGAGACUUGAGUGCAGAAGAGGAAAGUGGAAUUCCAUGUGUAGCGGUGAAAUGCGUAGAGAUAUGGAGGAACACCAGUGGCGAAGGCGACUUUCUGGUCUGUAACUGACACUGAGGCGCGAAAGCGUGGGUAGCAAACAGG
rnacentral:ncRNA from 2 species